AAGUUCACCCACAAAAGAAGCAAUACAAGCAAAAUGGUCCACAAACUUUUAGAAAUAUUCCCAAAUACCCCUUCUUUUUAAUUCUUUUUCCCCUUCUAAUAAUAACAAUUCCCCAUCAUCUUCAAUUGAACAAUAACACCUUCAAAUUCAUAGCAAUUUUCAAAAUGAAAAAUGUGGGUUGCAAUGAAAAGGCCCUUAAUCUUAUUAUUGUCUAGCAUUUUUUUGUUUGAGUUCUAUAUAUAUUGCUAAAACUGAAGUUAUUACCCUUACAGGCGAUACAUUUAAUGACAAGCAAGAACCUGCGAACACUUUGGGAUGAUGUAGGGAAAGUGAUGGAAGGGGCGGAUGAGAUAGAGGUGGGACAAGUUGAUUGUGGUACAGAUAAGCCAGUGUGUAACAAAGUUGAUAUCCCUUCAUACCCUACAUUCAAACUCUUCUACAAUGGAGAAGAAGUCGCAAAGUACCAAGAUUGAAUAUUUAGUGGUCAUGUUUGCCAGCCAUUGCAGAUGUCGACUGCACUCAUACAAAGAAGAUAAGUGUAACUUUUAGUCUUUUCCUAGAGGCUGAGAUGUCAUCUAUGGAAUUUCUCACUAACAGACAAGAGGGCUGGUAUAGCCGUCCAUGAAGAGGAAAUUGAUUCAAUACAUAUCUAAUCACAGUGUGUUGUUAGCAGAUUCUCAUACAGUCUCAAAUCAGUAGUGGAGGUGCGUCAAGUUUUUAAGGAUGAGCCCUUCAUGAAACCCAGUCUUGAAGACAUGAAGAACACCGUUGUGGUACCCUCAUAGCUUCUGCUUCUAAGGGAAAAGUUAAAGGCUACCCAAUUUGGGGUAAUCCAAAGCAUUCUUAAAUGAGAAUUUUACCUCCCCCUUCUGCAUUCCUGAGCAUUGUGAAUUCAAAAGCUUUAGGUAAUUAACUUGUGUGUGGAAUUCAAAAGAGCUGCAAAUUUGUGCCAAUAUGCUUGAGGGAUUUUGCUAAUUACAAAAUGGUUGAUUAUUGCCGGCUUUACCUCUUUCAAAGCUGUGAACUUAGAAUGUUUUAAGUGAUCAACAUAUGCCAGAUCAUUGGAAAUUUGAGACUUGGAGAUGCCUAUUUCAAGCUUGAAAAGGAGCUGAGAAACUUUGUUAUAUCAUGUAUCACUCCUUUGUCUAUAUUGGUUUACAUGAUUUGCUAUAAUUAGGACACUAGUUUUGCACAAAAUCUCUGAUUUUCAAGACUCUUUUUUUAAUGUGAUAUCUUUGAUACAAGGUUUACUCUUUCUUGAGGUUAACAUAAUUCCCUGGCUUGGCUUCUAUUAUGGCAUUCUCCCUUGUCCUGGGUAACGGAACAAGUAACUGCGCAGAAGCACCGGCUAUGCUCUUUGGAAUGUCAUGGUGUCUGGAUAAUGGUCACAGCAAUAUCAUGGCUGAAGGUGAUUCGAAACUGAUAGUGGACAGCAUCAUUAAUUCUAAAAGCAUCCGCUGAGAAUUUUUAAGGAAGUCCAAAAGCUGAAAGAGCUUCUCCAACAGACCACUUCAACAUUAAGCACUGCUUUAGGGAAAUAAACCAAGUGGCGGACAAACUAGCAUCCCUGGUUCCAGAUGAUAUUUGAACUAUGCAGAUGGCCAUGGACAAAUGGGGCUACCAGCUAUAAAGAUAUCUAGAAGGAAGAAGAAGAAUUGGUCCUUGAUCCACUUUAAUUCCUUGUAUCGCUCUCUUUCUAUAGGCUAGAUACUUUAACGUUUAGGAUAUGGAUAUUCAUACAUAUUCUUGUCCCUCUUGCAUUUACCAGUUCUUGUGUAAGGGUGGCAGUGCUAGCCUUCAAAUUAGCCUAUGAAGGAUGUGUUGCGCUCAACCCCCUCAAAACCAACUGUUACAGCCUUUUGGAGAUUGAAAUAAAAUGCGCAGUUAAUAUGAAAAAGAAAA